AUAAAAGAGGCAAGGAGAUCAAAUUCUUGCCGACCUCGCGGUCAAGUCUUGGGAGGAUCAGAUCUUAGGCGCGCUUGUCGCAGCCCCGGAAACGGUAAGGAUCACGCGAAACUGGAAACAAGGCCUCACGGCCUUGUUUUUUUUU
rnacentral:sRNA from 1 species